rnacentral:rRNA from 1 species
UACGGAGGAUGCAAGCGUUAUCCGGAAUGAUUGGGCGUAAAGCGUCCGCAGGCGGCAAUGUAAGUCUGCUGUCAAAGCGUCUGGCUCAACCAGAUAAAGGCAGUGGAAACUACAUAGCUAGAGUAAGGUAGGGGUAGAGGGAAUUCCUGGUGUAGCGGUGAAAUGCGUAGAGAUCAGGAAGAACACCGGUGGCGAAAGCGCUCUGCUGGACCUUAACUGACACUGAGGGACGAAAGCUAGGGGAGCGAAUGGG